rnacentral:ncRNA from 2 species
AUAAGUCACUAGGGGUGCCAAAAAGCUGAGAAAUACCCUCUGAACCUGAACGGGACAAUACCUGCGCUAGGGAAGUGUUCAAUUAGUUAA